AUCUACCAGGCUGAUUAAGCCACAGCAGAUCAGCAGAAUUCAACUGUCCAGAUAGAAAGGUGGACAUGGAAAAAUUGGGCUUUGCAAAUGGUCACCCAAUUCUUGCCUUCCUGGUCUCCAGAUCACCCUUCCUAUACCGCCACUCUGGAGAAAGAAGUACAGAACGCUAACAAGCUAGAUACAGAGGACCUAACAUACAACUCAGAGUCCCUAGAAGAUGGAGAAAACACAGACAAUUGGCAGAGGAGAUGAGCAUGUGAUUAUUGUUACCACUUGUCUGGAAGCAACCAGAAUGGAGUGGGGAAGACUCAAGGAGGAGAUCUUCACAGGACUCACCUCUCAUCACAGCUCCCGUGUGGUUGUAAUCACCCCAGAGGGAAAAAUAAUUUCGGUUUUUUAUGGUUUAAUUAUUGGUGAUAGCAGCUGUUUUGAAGACACAAACACAGAAGCAAGUUCUAGAACAUACUCACAGUUUCCUUGGUCACAGUGUUGUCAGUGGUUCUAUAAAGGUCUUAUGAAUCUCUACUUAGUUGACCACAAGUAGUAAGCAAGAAACAAUCCUGUAAAGAGAAUGGAGGUCAGAAUAAAGAAGCCUUGAGGGUUUAAAUCGCUUCUUGAAAAGAAAUGCCCGUGUGUCAAGGAGCUAAGGGAGACCAGCCCAGGAGGAGCUGAAUCCUGCCAACAAUCACUUGAGUGAACUUGAGAGUGAAUCCUCUCCAUGUUAAGCCUUGAGGUGAUUGUAGCUCCAUCAAAUACCUUCAUUGUAGCCUUGUGAGAGAUCUGAGUCAGAGGAUGGAGUUAAGCCAAGCCCAGAUUCCAGACCCUCAGAAACUUGAAAGCGGAAUACCUGGUUAUCCGGAGGUCACUGUCUCCACACAGAGUGGUGUCCUUGAUGCUAGCUUGGGGCAAAGAAGCCAGGAGCUAUGGCCAAAGAACAAGCACAUGAAGCAGCCUCCCAACAUCCCAA
rnacentral:lncRNA from 1 species